rnacentral:ribozyme from 11 species
AGAGGAGAGAAAGAGGGAAAGAGAAAGGGUGGCAGGUUUUUUCGCUUCUUGGUGAUUUCUUUGUGUACUCUCUGUCGAUUUAUCUUUUCUUUCCUUCCUUCCUUCCUUUCUUUCUCU